rnacentral:rRNA from 1 species
CCUACGGGUGGCAGCAGUGAGGAAUAGUGGGCAAUGGACGCAAGUCGGAACCAGACAGGCCGCGUGCAGGAAGACGGCUCUAUGAGUUGUAAACUGCUUUUGUACGAGGGUAAACUCAGAUACGCGUACCUUUCUGAAUGUAUCCUACGAAUAAGGAUCGGCUAACUCCGUGCCAGCAGCCGCGAUAAUACGGAGGAUUCAAGCGUUAUCCGGAUUUAUUGGGUUUAAAGGGUGCGUAGGCGGUCGGUUAAGUUAGAGGUGAAAUCCCGAGGCUCAACUUCGGAAUUGCCUCUGAUACUGUGCGGCUAGAGUGUAGUUGCGGUAGGCGGAAUGUGUGGUGUAGCGGUGAAAUGCUUAGAGAUCAUGCAGAACACCGAUUGCGAAGGCAGCUCACCAAGCUACAUCUGACGUUGAGGCACGAAAGCGUGGGUAGCAAACAGGAUUAGAUACCCGUGUAGUC